rnacentral:rRNA from 1 species
UACGUAGGGAGCAAGCGUUGUUCGGAUUCAUUGGGCGUAAAGGGCGCGUAGGCGGCGGGGUAAGUCGGGUGUGAAAUCUCAGAGCUCAACUCUGAAACUGCACUCGAUACUGCUCUGCUUGAGGACUGGAGAGGAGACUGGAAUUCACGGUGUAGCAGUGAAAUGCGUAGAUAUCGUGAGGAAGACCAGUGGCGAAGGCGGGUCUCUGGACAGUUCCUGACGCUGAGGCGCGAAGGCCAGGGGAGCAAACGGG